GGGGGAUAUUGCACAAUGGGGGAAACCCUGAUGCAGCGACGCCGCGUGAGCGAAGAAGGCCUUCGGGUCGUAAAGCUCUGUUUCGAGGGAAGAAUAAUGACGGUACCUCGGGAGAAAGCCCCGGCUAACUACGUGCCAGCAGCCGCGGUAAUACGUAGGGGGCAAGCGUUAUCCGGAAUCACUGGGCGUAAAGGGUGCGUAGGCGGCCAAUAAAGUCAGAGGUGAAAGGCUACGGCUCAACCGUAGUAAGCCUUUGAAACUUAUUGGCUUGAGUGCAGGAGAGGAGAGUGGAAUUCCUAGUGUAGCGGUGAAAUGCGUAGAUAUUAGGAGGAACACCAGUGGCGAAGGCGACUCUCUGGACUGUAACUGACGCUGAGGCACGAAAGCGUGGGGAGCGAAC
rnacentral:rRNA from 1 species